GAUGAACGCUGGCGGCGUGCCUAAUACAUGCAAGUCGAGCGAACGGACGAGAAGCUUGCUUCUCUGAUGUUAGCGGCGGACGGGUGAGUAACACGUGGAUAACCUACCUAUAAGACUGGGAUAACUUCGGGAAGCCGGAGCUAAUACCGGAUAAUAUUUUGAACCGCAUGGUUCAAAAGUAAAAGACGGUCUUGCUGUCACUUAUAGAUGGAUCCGCGCUGCAUUAGCUAGUUGGUAAGGUAACGGCUUACCAAGGCAACGAUGCAUAGCCGACCUGAGAGGGUGAUCGGCCACAUUGGAACUGAGACACGGUCCAGACUCCUACGGGAGGCAGCAGUAGGGAAUCUUCCGCAAUGGGCGAAAGCCUGACGGAGCAACGCCGCGUGAGUGAUGAAGGUCUUCGGAUCGUAAAACUCUGUUAUUAGGGAAGAACAUAUGUGUAAGUAACUGUGCACAUCUUGACGGUACCUAAUCAGAAAGCCACGGCUAACUACGUG
rnacentral:rRNA from 1 species